rnacentral:misc_RNA from 1 species
UGCUCGUAUAAAUAGGCCGCCAUUUGUUAUUGUCGGAGUGCGAGAAAGUGUCGCCUAGUGAUUGCAAUGAAAAAUGAAUUGUGAAUCUUAAAUGCUAGAUGUCGGCUCUGUACAUGUUCAGAAAAGCCGCUCAUGGAGAUAUUAAGAAGUCGGCGCAGAAAGUGUUGGAUAACAAAAAGGAUCCUCCAACCAGAUUGAAGCAUUUGCGUGUACUUCUAGACUAUUAUGACAUCCAAGAACAGAAAGGCUUCUUUGAAGAGAAUUUCUCACAUAUAUACUAUAUAUUUUAUGAUGUCUUUGUCAAUGUUGAGACUGAAUUGAAGCAAAGAGCCAGUAAGUCUCAUCGAGAAGAGCUUGAAGCUAUUCUCCAGAUCUUUGAGAAAAUUCUAGUUCUUUUACCUGAGAAGAUUCACAAAAAAUGGAUGUUUCACAAUAUUGGUCGAAUUAUGAAAAAAUUGCUUCAUCCAAAGAAUGGGUUAAAGCUGCGUCGAGAAGGCAUGAGGCUGUUUAUCAUCUGGUACCAGAUUUUGCAGGAAAAUGCAUCUGAGGAAUGCCAUAAUGUUUUCCUUUACUUAGUUCCUGGCCUCAGUUGUACUAGUUUAGAGGAUGUCUAUAGCAGAAUGGGCUUCAAUGACAACAACAAUGAUCUUGGAGUUGUCAGUCCUGGUGAAAUUUCACCCAUUCUUCCUGCUGUUGGAGAGAAACUUCCAGAAAAUACAACAAAAUUUUUUCUGGAUGCCUUUCUAGCUUAUCUGGUAUCUGAGGUUAUCAAAGUAGAAUGGUUGAACAAAAGUAUGAGGGAAACCAGUUUUGUAUUUUUAUUUGACAAAUUCAAAAGUUCUUAUCUGAAAUGGUUGCUACCUGAUUUUGAUUUUUCACGCAGUAUAUACGACCCUCCUUUAGAAUUACCAAAGAAUCGGAGAAUGCAAGACCUCAAAAGUCAAGAUAGGCCAUUAAAUAUUUCAGAAUGCCGGGAUUCCUUUGUCCGUUGGUUGUCUACAUUUGUGAUCUCCACAAAGCGAACUGAGAAUACAAUGACAAAGGGUUUGUCCUGUUCUCUGCUGACCGAGCAAAGUCAUCAAACGGAAGUAGAGACGUGUGCUGUGAGUGAACCAAAAGCGGACAGUGACCAGCUGGUACCCGGAAGUGCUGCCAGUACUUUAUCAACAGGCUCACAAUGUACAGAUAACUCUACAAAUUCUAGUAUAUAUAACGAAGACCAUAGUCUUUCAGAAUAUGAAAUUGUGAAAUCAGUUUUGUUUUCUACCCGAGAAAAUGUCAACGUUGUCCAUGAAGCAUUCCGACAGGCGUUGUUGUUUUCUUUUAACCAUGCUUUAGCAAUGAGAAGAGUUAUUGCUGUCUAUAAAGACUGGUUUCAGCAGCAUGCCGAAGAACUGCCGGUAUUCAUGCAGGAGCCAGUGGAUGAGGGUCAGGGGUGUGGGCUGAGGGAGGACAACACCGAGUUGAACCAGCAUAGUCUUUCAGAUAUAAUGGAGGAAGAUGAAUCUCCUGCAUCUUCGAAUUCCCGUUUACCUUUGGUCAACGAUCUUCCUGACAAGUCCCACUUGAGAAAUGCAUCAUACUUAGGAGCAAUUCAAGAGCUAGCAGAUCGAGGAGAGCAGCAAAACUACGAUGUUAGGGCUGGAUUACAGAAAGUAUUACAAGUUUUCAUCACUAAUGCAGCAAAUAUUUUCUUGUUAGAAGCUGAAGAUGAUGGGAAUUUGCUUCUCGAACAGGUUGAUUUAUGUAAGCGUGUCUUGAACAUCUACAGACACAUUAUUUUGAAUAUACAGCUUGCACCUAAAACUUGGGAGCAGACCUUAUUGGUAUUAUUAUGUGUUACCUCUGGUGUUUUGAAGAAGAGCCCACCCACAGAUCGGUUCCGAACUUUGGGAGGAAAACUUGUUCAGCCAAUCUUUCAAACACUGAUUGUCACAUGGAUCAAAGCAAAUUUAAGUGUAUAUAUAUCAGCUGACUUGUGGCACCAGUUGCUCGACGUAUUGUCAUCACUGACAUCUUGGGAUGAACUCAUCAAAGAAUGGUCGAAAACUAUCAACACACUAACACGCGUGCUUGCACGCCAGGUUUAUAACCUUGAUAUGCAUGACUUACCUUUGGACAGACUUACUGAACAGAAAGAGAAAAAGCGACGGGGCAAGAUUCAAGACCCACUGAUGUCCUGCAGUGUGUGGAAUGAUCUGAAUACAACCCCAGUUCAAAGAGCCACCCACCCCAUUCCGAAUACUACUGAAGGUCCUUCCAGAUCUAAAUCUUCAGAACAGAAUGUAUCCCGCGCUUGUAUCACAAGUGAUAGUGGGCUACCCAGAGCCCCCUCUGUUUCUUCAAGCACCCCUGACACUCCAUUUGAUCGAGGCAAAUUCAAGAGUGAAGGCGCAGGAGGACUAAAAAGCCGGACCGAGCUACAUAAGCAGCGUUCGCUGAGCGGAGAGCCCUCUCCUUGCCACUCGCGCACUGCCUCUGUUGCUUCUGACUCAAUGAUCAGAAGCAGCAGUGAAGGCAAUUUAGCCGAUCCUCGGGAACUGGCUGAAAGGUUAAAAGGUGCCAGUUGCCAAUCUGAUCAGAAAGAAAUUAGUAUCACAGAUAAUGAAGACUUUCACACUGCUGCUGCAGCAGGGAGACGCACAUCAUUGUCUGGAGGAGAGGAUCAGGACCAUGAAGUAGCUGUGAUAACCACCACCACGACGACAACCAUGACGACGACAACAACAGCAGCAACAACCACCACCACCACAACAACAACUACAUCAUCCUCAUCAUCAACAACUGUGAUACAUGAAAUCGAAGGCAGUGACAGUAGUACUGGUAACGGAAGCGAAAACAUUACAUGUACUGCAUUAUUGCCAUCAACAGACUCCAUGCUCGAUGCUAUCAGCUUAGAAAAGUCAGACUUGGAGAAUUCCGGAAGGUUGUCGCGGACGCCGUCAAUAAUGUCAAUCCAUUCUAAGUCAGAUUCUCGUAGCCAGUCACCAACAAGUGAACUGGCUGUGGAACUCAAUCCAAAAGACAGUCCUACUCCAGAUCGUGAUAGCUUACAUAUUGAUGUUGUGGCUGGAUCGGGGGCAGAUGAAGGCCCCAUAAAUCGAGAGUCUAUUGCUGGAGUGGACAAUUUUGAGGAGUACAAGAGUGUACUGGCUGGUGGCUAUAUCAUGGGUUGGACACCUGACGUUGCUGUGGUGCUGUGGCGGAGGAUGCUGGGAGUGUUAGGCAAUGUCAAUGAAAUAGAAAGUACUGAAAUCCACACAUCCGUCUAUAAGUGUCUCCAAGGACUCAUGGAGACAAUGAUUAAGAUGAGAGAAAAUCUUGGAGUGACAUUAGACAACCAAUGUUCUCCAGCACCUCCAGAGUUGAUUCCACCUCUCGCCAUAUUUUCUUCAUGGUUAUUUGAAUGUUUGCAGUUGCCGAACAGAUACAAAAAUAGCAAAUUGAUAGCAUAUCAACUCCUUUGCCAAAUGUUUGUACGUCGUGACAAUACAUUUUUACCUUUGGAUUCACUCACUCACUUCUAUCAGGCCUUGCAUUUGGGACUGGUUUCCCAGGAGCAGGAUAUGGUAAAUGUUUUAGUGAAACACUGUGGGCCUUGGUUUUUUUCCGCCCCUCUGCCAGGUUCAACACUGCUCAUAUUAGAUUCGAUCCAUGCUGCUGGAACUAUUAUCUCUAGCUCUGAUCCAGAGGUGCCCAAAACUGAAGCUGUGGCUCUGUUGGGUGCGUUGAUUUGCUUCCCCAAUCAUUUUGGUGAUCUACGGGUGUUGCAGCCCAAGACGUUGGUCUGUACACAGAUAGCUGCUAAUGAAUUCAAGGAUCUUAUAGUUGACCAGCUAUUGAAGGCAGGAAAACUAGACUCGGUAAGCUCAGCAAGGUGUAUAGCUUUGAGCAGUUUAGGUAUUUUCCUGUAUGAAGAAUUGGUACAUGGUACACUACAUCCAAAAAUUAAAGAAGCUAUUAAUGUAUUGCUUGGUGCUCUGAAGUGUUCUACUAAAAUGGUGGCCAAGGUGGCAUCAGAUAUGUUGAUGUUGCUCUGUGAUCAUGUUGACACGUUUCUCAGCUAUCUGCCGGAUUUACCAAAGAAGAUCAUUGAAGCAAUUGCCUUAACUGUUACAGAGAUCAUGCCAAGUCCGGAUCAACCAUGCAAUGAAGACCAAAAGCGGUUACUGGAGUCUAUGUUGUUCACAACUGUUGAGUGGUGUAUGCAGAUGCCAAUGCAUCUUCUGUUGGAACCAACUGAAAAUGAGAAACCUUUACUUCAUAAAGUAUUUCAAGUUCUGAAUGCUGCUGUUACGGGACAGACGACGGCAUCACUUUCAAGAGGUAGCCACUCAUUCUCUGACUUUGUCUCAGAAAUGGACAUGGACAGAGAGGCACUACUAGGCAGCACGAGUGGCUCGAAACUGUUUCCUGCAGAAUCAGUUGAGAACACAAAUGUUGAAAACCCAAAAGGCCUUUGCCCAUUUGAAGCACCAGUAAAGCAAGAAACAGAUAUUCUUAAACUAGCAGCUAAAACGUUAAUGACCCAUUUAGUUAACCACCUGAGCCAUUUCCCAAUGGGUGAUGGUGCUGCUAAACUGAGCAGUUGUGUACAAGAACAUCAUGAUCUGCCAGAGUUCUGUGACAAUGAUUUGAAACCGGAAAUCUUCCAAGCAACGAAUGUGCAGUUCUUUGUCCUUAAUCAUCAGUCACUGAUAUCUUUUGUUGAGCUACCUGCUUUGUCUGAUUCAUCUGGAAGAAGUGUGACUGCUGGUUUGACCACUGCCAAAACCGUGUGCCGUGUGAUCAUUCGAGACCUGAGUGGAAAAUACUGCUGGGAGAACUCUGUGCUCUAUGGUCCUCCAUGGUAUCAGAAGGAUCCAACGCCACAGGUUAAAAAAGUUGAAUCCCCUCUUGUUAAUGGCCCGUCCAAUAUGCAAUUUUCAUCCGUCAAGAUGGAAGCAGAACCACAUACCAACCAAGAGAACUGUGAUAGCAAGCCUCAGGAUUUGAGGCCACCUCAUCCUGAAGUUGUAGAACUACCUGAAGGCCACACUCCAGACCUUGAUAAUUUGGAUCAACUGCUCCGGUAUAUUGGUUAUGCAAGUCCUGAGUGCCUACUAAUGCCUGGAGUACCUCUUAACAUAGCAGCACCAAUUCCUGAGAAGUUGAGCACUCAAGCUGAGGAAAUGAUGACAAACCUAGUCCUGCAACAAAAAGAGGCAGAACUAGAUUAUUACUACCAGCACAAAUCUGAUCCACGACGAACCGAGGAGAGACCUAUGGUAGCUAAUCCUCAGAUGACUACUGAAAUUAAAGAUCCUGUGUCCCCAUUUCAAAUCUCCCGGUCACUACUUGAUCAGAUGGGCCUGCUGUCUUGGGAGAGAAGAUGUCAUUUUGAUUUAUUGAAGAAAAGUGACAAAUUGUUACGAGAACUGAAAAAUUUGGACAGCCAAAAAUGCCGUGACACCCACAAAGUUGCUGUGAUAUAUGUCGCUGAAGGUCAGGAAGAUAAACACUCAAUACUUGCUAACUGUGGAGGAAGCAAAGCUUAUGAAGAUUUUGUUAGUGGUUUAGGCUGGGAAGUGGAUCUUGAACAACAUGUUGGUUUUCUUGGAGGAUUGCAACAGAACAAGACUACAGGAGAGACUGCCCCCUAUUAUGCUAAUUCAACAUGUGAAGUUAUUUACCACGUUUCCACUCGCAUGCCAACUGGUAAUGAUGCAGCUAUGCAUAUCAAGAUGAGGCAUCUUGGGAAUGAUGAGGUCCAUAUAGUGUGGUCAGAACAUAGUCGAGACUAUCGCAGGAACAUUAUUCCGACAGAAUUUGGGGAUAUUCUCAUCAUUAUUUACCCACUUCCAAAUGGACUUUUUAGGAUUCACAUUAACAAGAAACCUGAUAUUCAUUUUGGCCCAUUGUUUGAUGGUGCAAUAGUCAAUUCCAAAGUCCUCCCUUGUCUAGUCCGAGCCACAGCCAUCAAUGCGAGCAGAACAAAGCGGGCUCUGAUGCCCCUCUACCAUUCCCACUAUGAAGAACGUGCUAAGUGCCUGGGCAACAUCAUCCAGAAACACAUAGAACUGACCAUGUUUGAGGACUUUGCUGCUAAUGUCUUUGCGCCAGUCUUUCCAGACACAUCUGCAACAGGUCAGUCAGUGUAAUAGUUCCCUCCACGUCUGUGCCACCUCAUUGCCCAACACUGCUUUAUAGAAAUAGAAGGCAUCAAUGUGGUGAUGUUUUGACCAACCUACAUCUGCAACAACCGCUAACGCAGCAGAUACACCAGCCAUCAGCUCUUCUAACUCUUCAGCCAAGUUGUCUUCAGCUUCUUUUUCACCUUCCCAGGUGUCUGCUCGCCAGUCC